UGCAAGUCGAACGAACUCUGGUAUUGAUUGGUGCUUGCAUCAUGAUUUACAUUUGAGUGAGUGGCGAACUGGUGAGUAACACGUGGGAAACCUGCCCAGAAGCGGGGGAUAACACCUGGAAACAGAUGCUAAUACCGCAUAACAACUUGGACCGCAUGGUCCGAGCUUGAAAGAUGGCUUCGGCUAUCACUUUUGGAUGGUCCCGCGGCGUAUUAGCUAGAUGGUGGGGUAACGGCUCACCAUGGCAAUGAUACGUAGCCGACCUGAGAGGGUAAUCGGCCACAUUGGGACUGAGACACGGCCCAAACUCCUACGGGAGGCAGCAGUAGGGAAUCUUCCACAAUGGACGAAAGUCUGAUGGAGCAACGCCGCGUGAGUGAAGAAGGGUUUCGGCUCGUAAAACUCUGUUGUUAAAGAAGAACAUAUCUGAGAGUAACUGUUCAGGUAUUGACGGUAUUUAACCAGAAAGCCACGGCUAACUACGUGCCAGCAGCCGCGGUAAUACGUAGGUGGCAAGCGUUGUCCGGAUUUAUUGGGCGUAAAGCGAGCGCAGGCGGUUUUUUAAGUCUGAUGUGAAAGCCUUCGGCUCAACCGAAGAAGUGCAUCGGAAACUGGGAAACUUGAGUGCAGAAGAGGACAGUGGAACUCCAUGUGUAGCGGUGAAAUGCGUAGAUAUAUGGAAGAACACCAGUGGCGAAGGCGGCUGUCUGGUCUGUAACUGACGCUGAGGCUCGAAAGUAUGGGUAGCAAACAGGAUUAGAUACCCUGGUAGUCCAUACCGUAAACGAUGAAUGCUAAGUGUUGGAGGGUUUCCGCCCUUCAGUGCUGCAGCUAACGCAUUAAGCAUUCCGCCUGGGGAGUACGGCCGCAAGGCUGAAACUCAAAGGAAUUGACGGGGGCCCGCACAAGCGGUGGAGCAUGUGGUUUAAUUCGAAGCUACGCGAAGAACCUUACCAGGUCUUGACAUACUAUGCAAAUCUAAGAGAUUAGACGUUCCCUUCGGGACAUGGAUACAGGUGGUGCAUGGUUGUCGUCAGCUCGUGUCGUGAGAUGUUGGGUUAAGUCCCGCAACGAGCGCACCCUUAUUAUCAGUUGCCAGCAUUAAGUUGGGCACUCUGG
rnacentral:rRNA from 1 species